UGUAAGCGGGACGAACGACCACUGUGAUUGGCUUAUGUGUGGAAAGAGGCGGGUCUUGGGGGAAUUUAUUACUCCUCAGUGUUGCCAGCUUAGCGACUUUGUCGAUAUAUUUAGCAAGUUUUUCUGGUAUUAUUGGAGACUUUUGGAGACGGAGGUGAAUGAAGGUAGUUUAUCUUCCCAACGAGGAGCGGUGCUGUGCAGACCCUCUCAUACGAGGCUUGGUCUUCUCGCAGCAGCAGCAGCUGCAUUCAGACAACGUUCACCUCUGUUUCAUGACCAGGCUGGAAAUGA